ensembl:lncRNA
GGGACGUGAACGGGAGGAGGGUACUAAGACCAACGGUCUGAAGUCCUGACGAGGAUGUCAACGUAAAUACGAGAGGCCAAGACACUUGAUGUGUUGGCAAAAACCCAGCCAAACACAUUCUGACAAGAUGUUCUCAGUUCCAGCUGAUCCUCAGAGGGUUGAUGCUGCGGCAUAAAGGUUAGUUAUCUGACACGACCCAAGGGCAGGCCUCCCAGAGGGAGCUGACUUCCUGCAGGGCGGGACUGUUUGGCAAACAUCCUGAGAGAAGACUGGGUGGAUGCACAGGACCAGAGGCCAAGGCUGCACACACCAGACACUUGAAAUUGCAGGACUUGUGCCUGAACUCCUGUUCCUGCCCAGGAGGAUCUGGUACUGCUCCAACCGUGAAUGCUAAGACAGAAGUGGGGAGGUCCAGCAAGGCUUGGACCCCAGGAGCUCAUCACCCCAGAGCUGACACUGCUGCUUCCUUAGGCAUGCAGCUUCUUAGCCCAGAGUGUAGACUGCAGUCUUGCUAGAUGACUUUGCAAGGUCCAGGGAGCCACAGGCAGAGGGGCGACUGCCCAGCUGCUCCUCUCCAGCUUCGAACUUUUGAGCUAAAAGAGGCUGUGGAAUUCAUCUGUGGAAGCUGGGGACAGAGGACCAUGUUGGAACAGAAAUGCCCGUCAGUGGGGGAUGGCUAAGCAAGCUUGUGUCUCUGUGCUGUGAAAUACUACACAGUGGCUACGAGGAAGGAGAUUGCUCUCUCUGCUGACACAGCCAGAUCUCCGAGACCUACUGUUAAUGAAAAGCAAGCUGCAUAAAGAUAUUUGUGGAAUGAUACCGUCAUUUUUUGUAGAAAAAUACACACACACAUGUAAACAAAGACAGAGCAAGCGCUGGGGCUGCAUGAAACUGGCUCAGAUGCUGGCUCAGCAACUUGUCUGUGAUCCGGGGGAAGACUUGACCCUCGAUCUCAGCUUCUUCAUCACCAAAACAUCUUGCAGGUUUGUCGUAAAGACUGAACGUAAGCUCUUUGGACGUUAUCUCUGCUCCCACGUGUUGGUUUUCUUUCCCCUAUCUGAGUCUAAUGGCUUUUUCUUUAUUUUAUUUUAUUUUAUUUUUACAGAUGAGAAAACCAAAUACAAAGUAAUUAAGUCGCUUCCUCAAAGUGCCCCAGUUGGUUAAUGUGAGAGCCAGGGCUGUAUGUGGGGUCUCUUCUAUCACAAUCAAUUGGCAUUAAAUCCCUAGGGAGUGGGGUUACUGUGUUUGCUGUGGCUAUUUCUGCCAGUGAGUCCAUGUGGCAGGUGUGUUUGCAGAUGUGUGAUGGGGGCAGCGUUGGACCCACUGCACAGAGAAGGGCCAGGCAGGGAGGGUGGGUGGACCUGCAAGGUUCUGUCUGACUGUUCUCUGACGCUGCUGUCAAGGAAGCCUAGCAGCAGAUAUCAGGGACCGGCCGCAAGGGGCCCAUAGGUACCAGGCAAAGACAGCCAACAGCACAGGGAUGCGGGCAAAACGGGCUGCUGACAGUCUUUCUGGCUACCUAGAAUCUGCCUCUUCGUGUUUGGGUAAUCGCUCUGAUUUGUGAGGCAGAGAGUGCCACCCAUUGCACCACAGAAAAUGACAGACACUUCCCGGUUGCCGUUCCCAUGAGGAUGUUCAGAGAGCUGGGCUCCAGCAGUCAGAGGCACCGUCCUCAUCAGGCUCCACUCGCUCAGAGCUCCAGGGAUGGCUUCCAGGCCUAUGGGGAGUUACCCACCAGCGCUGUCAUCACUAAUUUCAACUAAAGCCCUGAGUUUGAAUUUUAACUGUCACAGACUCCAGGUGGGCUUAUGGCUGUUACUACUUUGUUGAGUGCAAACAAAGGGGAUUUUGUGUUCUGAAGCCAUCGCAUGGGAGCAAGACCUCAGCAGGCUGUGGGUCAGGGAGCUAUGCCAUGUGCUCCAUGCGUCCAGGGGACCAGCCCCGAGGGAACCAGGCCGUAGCUGGCUGCACCCCCACCCCAGGAAAGCGGGCACUUCCAGGGAACCUCCAGGGAAUGACUGGACCCCUGGUUAACUUUCUGGGAAGAAUUCAUGACUAAGUGGUAUUUUCAUCUUCCUCUCCUCCAGUUUUGGCCCUUUUUGUGUUUGUCCAUGGUGCCUGAAGACUCUGCUUUCUGGACUAAGGCCUGAGAAUUUACUUCAGUGUCUACGUGGGAGUCCAGGCUGGCCGUCUGCAUUUUUGUGAUGAAUGGGCAUCCUAACCACUGGAACAUUCUUGAACUGAGUUGCUUCUUUCCAUCUUGCAGACAGAAGGACAAACAUCUCUCCUACUCUUCUGAGGCAACGCUUCAGAUCCGCUCAGCCUCACCACCUCUUGUCUCAGCACCAGCAGUUCCGGAUGGCUCCUGCUGUCAGCGCCUCCCCUCGAGCUGCAGCUCGUGCCUCUCAUCUCCCACCCAGGGGGGUGUUGAUGCCAGACACAGAGGCCCAGGACGCUGCUGUGGCUCACACAGGGAACACUGAAGUGAGGCGGGGAGUUAACGCCCCACGAGGAGACUUUCGACAGAAGGAGACAGUUAGUGGAUAGAUUCUUCUUCCUUUCUCCCUGCAGGUGGACAGUUUUGAGAUGCGGCUUUGUGACUUCCUGGAGAAUGAUCCUGUCCACUUGAACAAUCAGUCUGACGUGGCAGCUGCCAACCCCCCGUGUCUCCUAUUGGCUCCUCCUUUGCUGCUUCGCGUCCGUGUCCCUCACAGCUGGAAAUGCGUUCCUAAUCAGGUGGAAGUACCAUAGCUCCUUGCCUCAGGCUCUGCUUUCUCAGUAGCCCAGGCUAAGAGAACACCACAGAAUUCACAGACAAAACCAUGCCAAUUUCAGCAUCAUUAGUAGCUUUUCGUCAUGUAGGAAUCCUUCCUGGCGUCUCACUCGGUUGUAUCCUAAAUGUGUGACAUUGGGAAAGUCACCUAAUCUCUCUGAGCCUCAUAUUCUUCAGGGUAAUGUGGCGAUAACAAUAAUGCGCGUCUCAUGAAGAGUUGGAGGAAUUGAGAGAAACUUGAUACGGGCCGGUGCUUGUCAUGUAGUGAACGCUCAGUGUCAGCUGCCGUUGUUAUCAUUAUGAAAAUCAGUCCUAUUGGCAACAUGACGGAGCUCUAGGGGAGACAGCAAAAGGAAAGGGCGUCCACUUACAGGUACUUUAGGGAGGUUGGAAAGGUGUGCCUGCACACCUGUGAGCACGUGUUCACGUUACACAAUAAGGCCUCGAGGGUCCAUUCCAUCAUCCAAAGAAGGCCGGAUUUAGAAAUGGAACCUAGACCCCUUCUGGAGUCAGACUUCCACGCCACGGUGAAAGGAUCCUGCUGAGCGGUCGAGCAUUUUGAAGGGCUGUGUAGGUUUAAACUGAAUCAGGACCACAGUGGUCCCAGGUUUUGACAUUUCCUUCUGUGGCUUCCCGCUCAGCGUGCUGGCACGGCCGAGGGACGCCCGGCCUCUCUCCGUGAUCCUGAGCUGUGCCUGGGCUCCGCACAGGAGAUGGCCUGCCUCUCACAGCUGGCCGUCCUUUGAUCCCAGAGUUUCAAUUGUGUUAUGUUUGGCUUUUGCUUGCUGAUGAAGAGAUGUAUAUGGAUUUCAUUUUCUUUAGUCUCUGGCUGCCAAAGAUCUUGGUGUUUGUAAUAUUCGUGGGCAACUAGAUCAACUACAACCACGUUUUUGCUGGGCGGUUUUCACGGUAGCGGGAAGUCAGAAGUGAUGCGUAGGCUCCUAAAUCUUGGGCUUUGUUUAACAUGUAAUUUUUAUGGCCAGUGAGACUGAGUAAGGUCCUAAUAUUUCAGAACUUCAUAUAGGAGGCAAGCCAGAAUGAAAAAUGACACUGUCCGCCAGCCAAACCCAGCCACUGCAUAACGCAUCUUCUCAGAAAAUCAUCCUGACCCUCCUCCAAGCUCACUUUUGUCCUCCAGGUUCGGAAUCCUUGUUAAAUGAACUUCUGGGGCUUAUUUUUCUUUGGUAGUGCAGCAAAUAUAAAAUGUCCUCCACACUACCCACAAACAUGCAGACCAGAUGUCGAUCCCUCAGGACCCUAACUGGUGUUUUCUCCCUGAUGACCGCUUAGCCCGCUAGAGAACGGAAAACGAAAAUCCAAGUUUUACUCUAAGUAUGGAACCUCAGCCCGGUCCUAGCAUUUCGAGUCUCUUUGGGUAACUCAGUCCCUGCUCAGAAACUGCAGUGAAUGUUUCCAAUCCCCUUUUGCUCUGCUCAGAGACGGCGUCUGGGUGGGAUGCACAGCAGCUGGAAGCAGAUGCUCGCUAGAUGGCCUUGGGCCGCACGCAGACUCCUGCAGCAGACGUCAGGAUCUCUGCCCAGGAGCCAGUCCGGGAGGGAUGUGCUGCCUCGGCAGCUGAGAAUGAUAUGGAUUCCUAAUAAGCAUCUCGCACCCCAAACUCUGUCUCAGCAUCUACUUCCAGAGCAGCCAACUCACAGAGCUCAUCUCUUCUCCCGUCUUCUGCUGUGACAUCCACGCCGUCACUGUGCGACGUGGGAGUGGACUCUGCAGGCUCUUCCCGAUGGCCCCCGGUCUCUGUGCACAGCGGAUACAUGGCACCCGCCGCAUGCUCCGGGCCUCCCGUCCUGUGGGAUACUUCUAACGACAGUCCUGAAGCUCUGCUUGGAGCCUGAGCAAGAUUCUACGACCUGGUUCACCAAGUCUGUCUCUUGAUAUGAUAAAGGCAUCCCACACAGGUCCUUACGGGAGGCAAGAUGUAUGCAGGAGCCGCACUCCAUCCUGUCCCAUGUCUACCUGCUCUACCCGGGGACCAUCCACCUGGGGGCAGAAGGGAAUACCCUCUAUUUCGCUGCAGUCCCGUCACCAUCUGACCCGUGGCUUGAUCUCUGUGGUCUCUGCCUGGAUGUCUCAGGAAAAGCUUCAGCCUUUCAGAGUUCUGCUCUUUCCCUGCCCCUCCCAGCUGGCACUAAAAGAAGGGGCGGGGAGGUCCCCGGACCACCCUCCAGUGUGGGCUCCCCGCUGAUGGGCCAUGCGGUUGCUGGCCUGGAUUGCUCCCUGGCCCUGUGGUCACUGAGGUGCAGCUGGAACGGUCACAGUUUGUGAGGACACGCGUCAGCACCCACUCCUGGAACCUGCUUCCCGUCACCAGUUUCUGGGGUGGGAGACCCUGCGCUGCUCUCUGACCCCGGGCCUCGGCCGCUCUCUGGCCUCGUUGGUGCCCUGCUUACUCUUCCGCAUGUGUCUGCCGCCUUGAGCACCAGGAACCCGGGUGUGGCCAAGGCACAUGGACCUGGCCUUCUCGUGCCACCGCCACCUCCGUGCCCUGUGUCCCCACACCACCCAGGUGUUUCUGAAAGUACUUCCUCCCACCGGCUCUCUCGAGGUGCCUCCAUGCUCCCAGUCCUGGGAGAAAAGGCAACCCGCUGACCGCCUGCCUCCCUGUGCUGUGCGUCCUCCUGUAAUCCCGACUUCCUCCACGACCCGUCCCAAGUCCCGUCCAGACAGACAGACAGCGAGAGACUUCAGAGAAGUGUCCCCCUUUUGCAAAGGAAGGAAUUUACAUUCCAGACAUUCAGGCCUGAUUCUCUGCACACGAAUAAAGCUAAAAGAAAUGAAAAACCACUUAUUUCUCAGCAAAACUUGGCUUUUGAGAUUAUCUUGUUUCAAUCUCAAACAAAUAGAUAAGCAACAGUCUCCUGUGCUAACAGACAGGGACCCUUCUCUGAAGCACUUGGGCCCUAUUCCUCACAGUGUGAGACGUUGCCAGUUAAUAAGAUUUAUGAGACAUGGAAAUGUAUCUGAACAUAAUUCAAAGGAAUGUUGUACCUGUUGUAUAACAAGAAGAAUAAAUUUGACAGCAAUUCCCUCUGCCGUAGUGAGUGUACUUUGUAUAUAUUAUCUCAUUUAAUUUUCAUCAUAACCCUGUGGGAAAAGUAUUAUUAUCCCAAUUUUGGAAAUGAUACAUGAGGCCCAGGAGAGCAAACUGCCUUGCCUGAGGUCACGUGACUAACAAGAGGUGGACCAGGUUCCGUCUGUCUGACUCCAAGCCCCUUGCUCUGACCACUGUGGUUGCUCCGUCUGAAAAGAGUUGGCUACAAAACAAGAUUUUGAGGAUGCAGAGCUCUCAUUUGGUGACGACUUUUCUGGCUCUGUGCUUGAGAACCAAACUCUGAGGCGGCUGUGUGGCUCUGCUUCCUCAUCCGUCCAGUGGAG